GAAAGCAAAGAAGGGCAUAUGGAGGAUGCCUAGGCUCUCGAAGGCGAAGAAGGACGUGAUAAGCUGCGAAAAGCUCCGGGGAGUGGCAAAUACACCGAGAUCCGGAGAUGUCCGAAUGGGGCAACCCGUCGAGGCUCGACCUCGACACACGCGAACGCGUGGGCGAACGUGGGGAACUGAAACAUCUAAGUACCCAUAGGAAGAGAAAAUAAACAAUGAUUCCGCAAGUAGUGGCGAGCGAACGCGGAAGAGCCCAAACCGCAGGCGUAGCAAUGCGCCGUGCGGGGUUAUAGGACCGGCGCCACGAAGAACUGAAAGCUAGCCGAACCGACUGGAAAGUCGGGCCGCAGCGGGUGACAGCCCCGUAGGCGAAAGCGUUCAGCGAUUCCAGCCGGCACCUGAGUAACCCGGAGCACGAGGAAUUCCGGGCGAAUUGGCGGGGACCAUCCCGUAAGGCUAAAUACUAACGAGAGACCGAUAGCGAACCAGUACCGUGAGGGAAAGGUGAAAAGAACCUCGAACAGAGGAGUGCAACAGACCCUGAAACCAUAUGCCUACAAGCGGUCGGAGCGGCUCAGUGCCGUGACGGCGUGCCUUUUGCAUAAUGAACCUACGAGUCACCGUCGUUGGCAAGGUUAAGGACAAUGAUGUCCGGAGCCGAAGCGAAAGCGAGUCCGAAGAGGGCGCCGGAGUCAGCGGAGGUGGACGCGAAACCAAGUGAUCUACCCUUGGGCAGGUUGAAGGACAGGUAAAACUGUCUGGAGGACCGAACCGGUAAGCGUUGAAAAGCUUUCGGAUGACCUGAGGGUAGGAGUGAAAGGCCAAUCAAACUUGGAGAUAGCUCGUACUCCCCGAAAUGUAUUUAGGUGCAGCCUCGGAGAGAAUCUGACGGAGGUAGAGCGACUGAUAGGAUGCGAGGGCUUCACCGCCUAUCAAGUCCUGACAAACUCCGAAUGCCGUCAGACAUAUCCGGGAGUAAGGGCGCGGGUGCUAAGGUCCGCGUCCGAGAGAGGAACAACUCAGACCAUCGGCUAAGGUCCCGAAAUCCGGGCUAAGUUGAAGACAAUAACGAGGUGGGAUUGCAUAGACAGCUAGGAUGUUGGCUUGGAAGCAGCCAUUCAUUUAAAGAGUGCGUAACAGCUCACUAGUCGAGUGAUCCCGCGUGGAUAAUAAUCGGGCAUAAGUCCGGUACCGAAGCCAUGGAAUCACGCCUAGGGCGUGAUUGGUAGGGGAGCAUUCCGUACGGCGGCGAAGGUCGGUGGCGAUGCCGGCUGGAGCGUACGGAAAAGCAAAUGUAGGUAUAAGUAACGAUAAUGGAGGCGAGAAACCUCCACGCCGAAAGACCAAGGUUUCCUGAUCAACGCUAAUCGGAUCAGGGUAAGUCGGGACCUAAGGGGCAGCCGCGAGGCGGACCCGAUGGAAGAAACGGUAAAGAUUCCGUUACUGUCGCCGGGAGUGAAGCGGGGACGGAGGAGUGACACCGCCGCGGACUGACGGAAUAGUCCGUUGAAGAGUGUAGGUAUUCGGAGGCCAGGCAAAUCCGGUCUCCGAGCUGAACUUGACAGUACUGCGAGCCUUCGGGCAAGCAGACAGCGCGGGUAAUCAGACUCCCAAGAAAAUCCGCUAAACAUAUGUCGGCGACACCCGUACCGCAAACGGACACACGUGGUCGGGUAGAACAUACUAAGGCGCUCGAGAGAUUCACCGUUAAGGAACUAGGCAAAUUGACCUCGUAACUUCGGGAUAAGGGGUCCCACAGCGAUGUGGGCGCAGAGAAUAGGUCCAGGCAACUGUUUAACAAAAACACAGGGCUGUGCGAAAUUUAAAGAUGAAGUAUACAGCCUGACACCUGCCCGGUGCCGGAAGGUUAAGAGGAGAGCUCAUCGCAAGAGAAGGCUUGAAUUGAAGCCCCGGUAAACGGCGGCCGUAACUAUAACGGUCCUAAGGUAGCGAAAUUCCUUGUCGGGUAAGUUCCGACCUGCACGAAUGGUGUAAUGAUCUGGACGCUGUCUCAACGGUGAGCUCGGUGAAAUUGUAGUAUCGGUGAAGAUGCCGAUUACCCGCAACGGGACGAAAAGACCCCGUGAACCUUUACUGCAACUUAGCAUUGCGUUUGGGCAUUUGAUGUGUAGGAUAGUCCGGAGGCUAUGAAUCGGCGACGCCAGUCGUCGUGGAGCCGCUGUUGAAAUA
rnacentral:rRNA from 1 species